rnacentral:rRNA from 1 species
AACGAAAUAAGUACUGUCUCAAUAAAUAAAAUAAAAACUAUUAUCUAAGUGAAGAAACUUAGAUAAAAAUAAAGGACAAGAAGACCCUAUAGAGCUUUAUUUUCUCUAUAUAACAUAUAUAUAUAAAAUUCGGUUGGGGCGACCUCGGAUAAAUCAUCCUAAAGUUAAAAGAUAAACAAAUCUCUCAAAAGAUCCUUUUAAAGAUCACAGAACCAAGCUACCUUAGGGAUAACAGGCUAAUCCUAUUAUAGAGCUCUUAUCAACAAUAGGGA